rnacentral:tRNA from 1 species
GUUUUUGAGGCAGAGGUUAGCAUGUCCGCCUAUGAAGCUGACCGCCUGGGUUCGAAUCCUGGCAAGAACA